UACGAAGGGGGCUAGCGUUGUUCGGAAUUACUGGGCGUAAAGGGCGCGUAGGCGGUUGGAUAAGUCAGCUGUGAAAACCACGAGCUCAACUUGUGGCCUGCAGUUGAAACUGUCUGGCUAGAGUGUGGGAGAGGGAAGUGGAAUUCCUGGUGUAGCGGUGAAAUGCGUAGAUAUCAGGAGGAACACCGGUGGCGAAGGCGGCUUCCUGGACCACAACUGACGCUGAGGCGCGAAAGCUAGGGGAGCAAACAGG
rnacentral:rRNA from 1 species